AUCAAUAAGCGGAGGAAGAGAAACCAACAGGGAUUCCCUCAGUAAUGGCGAACGAAGUGGGAAGAAGGCCCAGGUCUGAAAUCUCCGGUCAGGCUUUGAGUUGUUGACUGGCGAAUUGUGGUCUGGAGAGUCGAACUGUCCCGGUCCACUGCUCCACUGUUCGGGCCCGAAGUCGACUUGGAACGGCGUGCCUGAGAGGGUGAGAGCCCCGUAGGGCAAGGAAACCGGGAGCGGCGGGACGAGGGUUCGUACUCGUGGAGUCGGGUUGUUUGAGAUUGCAGCUCCAAGCGGGUGGUAGACUCCAUCCAAGGCUGAAUACAGGUGCAAGACCGAUAGCGGACAAGUACCGUGAGGGAAAGGUGAAAAGCACUUUGAAGAAAGAGUUCAAUAGACCGUGAAACCGUUGGGAGGGAAGCUCAGGGUGAGGAGGUGGUCGUGCUUCGUUGGGGUUCAUCGGACUUGCCUGCCAUUGCAGAGCUGUCCGAGCAUUCUCCCUCUGAAAGUUGGAACCGUCAGUCGGGGAGGGUCGUGCAGGACUGAUUUGCGUGUCAGUGGUCGGGUAGGUUGCCUCUGGACGUGAAAGCUUGCUUGAGUGUUUGGAGGAGCUUAUAAGUCGUUCCGCUGUGACCUGCGUCGUCUCCCAUUUGCGAGGUGUCGAAUCGCCCCUGAAAGGGGAAGGUGCAGACUUUCUCCACUAACGUUGCGAGAGGGUUGAGAAGCUCCGGGAGGUAGCUGUGGCCUGUUUCAGAGCGUUCCGUCCUUUGCCUUAGUAGUUCAGUCUGCUCGGGGAACGGGAAGGCGUUCGAAGCAGCUGUUCACUGUCCCUGUUUACCUGGCAGCUUUUCAAGGAACUGUGCCGAGGUGACUGACGAAGAGUUGUUACCCUGUGCCCCGUCUUGAAACACGGACCAAGGAGUGCAAGAGGUACGCGAGUCGAAAGGAUUGUAAAUGGUGGGGUUGUGGGGAGUUCGCUCCUUUCCCCUCCAAUAGAGAGACCCAAUUGUUUUGGAAAAGGCGAAGUGAGAGCAAACAGUGCCAUGCACUGUUGGUGUGAGAGCCGGCGGGAGACCGUGGGCGCAUCGCACACCGAGCCUANNGGUCACGCUGUGGCCGGUUUCGAGUGAGAGCGUUCCUGUUGCGACCCGAAAGAUGGUGAACUAUGCCCGANGAGGGUGAAGCCAGAGGAAACUCUGGUGGAGGCCCGUANCGUUUCUGACGUGCA
rnacentral:rRNA from 1 species